CAAUCGGCCCUUUUCAGGGCCACAAAUGACUCAAACGUUUGGUU
rfam:Lasius niger Lnig_2.1_780, whole genome shotgun sequence.